rnacentral:lncRNA from 10 species
CGGCACUUGGGUGCGGUGGGCUCCCAACCUCACUGUCCGACCAAAGGAUCGCCCCGGCUGGGCGGGGACCUGGCGCGCCUAGGCCGGGAGGGGACAGCUGGUUUCGGGCGGCCUCUGCCCCAGUGACCUGUAGACUUUGGCUUUGGUUCAGGGACGUCUGGGGUUAAAAAUGAUCGUUUGGGUUCCCGCAGUACUGUUCGCGGUCUGAGCAUCUCCACAACGCGCACAUUCCCAUAAUGAAUUUCCGAGAACCGGCACGCGUGCCUCCCCUCUUGGCUCCUGGGACUGCGAGGCCGGAUCCAAUCUGUGCGCCUCUGUGCGCAGGGACGGCUGAUGGCCCGGUUCCGCCUGUCCGUGCCCCAGGAUGCUACAGGAAGCUCAGAUGCAAACUCUUUGGGGCUGUGAGUUCCCGCAUUGGGAAACUCUUGCAAUAAAAAUAAUCGUGCUGUAAUCCCCAGGGACCAUUGAGAGGAAGUGGUGAGGGCGGGGGAGGCGCGGGAGGAAGAGGCUGGGGGCUGAGGUGUGCUGGGGUGGGUAGGAGACCGGCUGAGCCCAGCACGGAGCCGCUUCCUGGUAGCCCUGGCGGCAUCACCCUUGGGUCGGGUUCCAGAGCCCGGGGGUCCUUUCAGCUUUCCGUUCCUUUUCCUUAUACUUCGUCCCUCUCUCCAGCUAGAGAGGGGCAGGCUCUGGGGUCUGGGUACUUUUGUUUUGGAGCCAUUUAACUUGAGUUAUAAUAACAUGCUUUUCUGAUUAUAAAAUUAAUGCAUGGCUACCAUAAACAAUUUGGAAAAGACAGAAAACAAGUUAACACGUUAAAAUCUCAAUCCUGUCUGGUGAGGACUGCAGUGAAGCCCAGCUGGCCACCCCUUCCGGGGCCUCUGUUCUCC